rnacentral:rRNA from 1 species
GAUGAACGCUAGCGACAGGCUUAACACAUGCAAGUCGAGGGGCAGCGGGGAUUGUAGCAAUACAAUUUGCCGGCGACCGGCGCACGGGUGAGUAACGCGUAUGCAACCUACCUAUCAGAGGGGGAUAGCCCAUUGAAAGAUGGAUUAAUACCGCAUAAAACAGGGAUUCCGCAUGGAAAUAUUUGUUAAAGAUUUAUUGCUGAUAGAUGGGCAUGCGUUCCAUUAGUUAGUUGGUAAGGUAACGGCUUACCAAGACAUCGAUGGAUAGGGGUUCUGAGAGGAAGGUCCCCCACACUGGUACUGAGACACGGACCAGACUCCUACGGGAGGCAGCAGUGAGGAAUAUUGGUCAAUGGGCGCAAGCCUGAACCAGCCAAGUAGCGUGAAGGAUGACUGCCCUAUGGGUUGUAAACUUCUUUUAUAAAGGAAUAGUAGUAAAUACGUGUAUUUAUUUGAAUGUACUUUAUGAAUAAGCAUCGGCUAACUCCGUGCCAGCAGCCGCAGUAAAAC